rnacentral:lncRNA from 12 species
CUUAUAAUCAGCUAAAGGAAGCUGUCUUGCCUGGGAGUGGAAAGCAUAGGAGGAGAGGGUAGGGAGUGGAUUUUGGUUGGGAAGCAGUGACCCCCUACUGCCCAGAGGGGCUGGAGUUACAGAAUCCAUCCUGCACAUAUUCUGUUGAACUCAGUGAACUCUCAGAUUCCAUCCGUUGUGUUUUUGGAGGAAGACAACAAAAGCAAAUCCCAAGCAAAGGUGGUAGGACUACUUCAGGAUCUAAGUCCAGGAGAAUAGCCAGUAAGUAGUAUUACUGUCUUUUGGAACCA